UGAUAAAGAAAGAACGAGUGAACGAUCAGACGCGUUACUGUGAAAGUGGCGCGCGCGUCUUUAGCGGGUCAAACCGCUUUCCGGCGACACGUCCUCCUCCAGACAAACUACAGCUCCUCACGGGGGUUUAGAUGCAUUAACAUGCUGUAUCCAUCACUAUUUUAUGCGGUCAAUUCAUUUAAUUUCCAUGAAAUCGCUCUACCUUCUAGGGAGAAGUCAUCUUCUUGCUAGCAGGAAGAGCCUCGUUCAGAGACAAACCUCUUCCGGGUCAACCUCAAAUUCAAAAGGUUGACGGGAAUAUUCCAUUUAAAUACUUAUCUAAAACACAUAUGCAUACUGUUUUAAAUUAAAUGUUUGUUUUUUUUUCAUUCUUUUUUUUUAUUUCAACUGUUUUUCAUUGGGAAAAAAGUACAUCGAGAAGUAAAACGGAAGUAGUUCAACAGGUCUUGUAUGGCAAGCGUUAAGGGCCAAAACUCGCUAGAAAAUACACCGUAAAGAGCGAAGAUCUGACCGAGGUUCCGCACAGACCAGACUUGCCGGUACAUGUCCUCUCUGGAGGGUCCCGUCCCACCAGGGGGAGGCUGGGCGGGAUUUGAAGAGGCUGACCUGAGCGGCCUGGCUUCAGCUCCACGGUUGGAUCCUCGUCAUGGAUGGACGAGACCUGCAGGCUGGAUGUGAGAGGACCCUGCAGAGGUUACCGGUCUGGAUCAUAGAGCAUGUGUGGACUCACAAGAUCAUGGAUGUCCGAGAAGUUGUCGACUCGUCCAGCUGGCCGGAUGUGGAUUCUCAGCCUCUCAGCCUGGAGGACUCGUGGAGGCUGCGUGUCACCGCCGCACGCGUCUACUCCAUCAUGAAGAGCAGAGACCUGCAGAACUUUGAGAAAGUCUUGGGCUUCCUGGAAACCACUCGCAGGCUUUUACCCCGACUGGUGCCGGCCAUCAAACACAUGAAGAUCAUGUUUGGCGUGAAAACCAUGAUCAUUAUGUGGAUGCUGAAGGAACACAAAGGAAUAGUUGAAACUGUGACUCAAAUACUGCGGUUCUUCCCACACAAACUCCCUCAGUACCAAGAUCAGUGUAGUCCACGAGAAAUGUUCAUCAUGAGGAAGAAUCACGUGGACUUUAGGAAUCUGGCUCAAGCUCUCGCUAUAGACCAGGAGCGUCUGGAGGAUUACAUCAAGACUCAGAUGGAGAGGCAGUACGGAGAACGAUACGCUCAGAAGGUGGAAGAGCGGCUGUUGCUCUACCUCCACCUGCUGGAGGCGGAGCUACCAGGAGAGACUUACAUCGAUAAGGUGCGUCACUGGUGGACCGUCGCGUUCAGUCAAAGGCUGUUUUCAUAGACAUGUUCCUCUAACCCACAUGUGUCAAAGUCGAGGCCCGGGGGCCGGAUCCGGCCCUCCAGAUCAUUUGAUUUGAUUCUUAUUAAUGGUGUUAUCUUACACUUAUUUCUAACUUUGACAAAAUAUAUUUUUAUGCAUAGUAAAAUAUUGAAAGUUAUUUAAUAAUAUUCCUGCUGUUUUAUUAUUCUGAAUUAUGUUAAAAAGUUUUAAAAAUCAGCAUUUUGCAGCUUUUUGGACUAUUUUGGUUUUUACUGAGAUUUUUUUAGGCUAA
rnacentral:lncRNA from 1 species